rnacentral:rRNA from 1 species
GAGUUUGAUCGUGGCUCAGAUUGAACGCUGGCGGCAGGCCUAACACAUGCAAGUCGAGCGGUAGAGAGAAGCUUGCUUCUCUUGAGAGCGGCGGACGGGUGAGUAAUGCCUAGGAAUCUGCCUGGUAGUGGGGGAUAACGCUCGGAAACGGACGCUAAUACCGCAUACGUCCUACGGGAGAAAGCAGGGGACCUUCGGGCCUUGCGCUAUCAGAUGAGCCUAGGUCGGAUUAGCUAGUUGGUGAGGUAAUGGCUCACCAAGGCGACGAUCCGUAACUGGUCUGAGAGGAUGAUCAGUCACACUGGAACUGAGACACGGUCCAGACUCCUACGGGAGGCAGCAGUGGGGAAUAUUGGACAAUGGGCGAAAGCCUGAUCCAGCCAUGCCGCGUGUGUGAAGAAGGUCUUCGGAUUGUAAAGCACUUUAAGUUGGGAGGAAGGGCAGUAAAUUAAUACUUUGCUGUUUUGACGUUACCGACAGAAUAAGCACCGGCUAACUCUGUGCCAGCACG